AUUGAACGCUGGCGGCAUGCCUUACACAUGCAAGUCGAACGGCAGCACGGGUGCUUGCACCUGGUGGCGAGUGGCGAACGGGUGAGUAAUACAUCGGAACGUACCUUAUCGUGGGGGAUAGCGCAGCGAAAGCUGUGCUAAUACCGCAUACGCCCUGAGGGGGAAAGCGGGGGAUCGCAAGACCUCGCGCGAUUAGAGCGGCCGAUGCCUGAUUAGCUUGUUGGUGGGGUAAAAGCCCACCAGGGCGACGAUCAGUAGCUGGUCUGAGAGGACGAUCAGCCACACUGGGACUGAGACACGGCCCAGACUCCUACGGGAGGCAGCAGUGGGGAAUUUUGGACAAUGGGGGCAACCCUGAUCCAGCAAUGCCGCGUGAGUGAAGAAGGCCUUCGGGUUGUAAAGCUCUUUUGUCAGGGAAGAAACACCGGCUCUAACACAGUCUGGGAAUGACGGUACCUGAAGAAUAAGCACCGGCUAACUACGUGCCAGCCGCCGCCGUAA
rnacentral:rRNA from 1 species